rnacentral:rRNA from 1 species
AUUGAACGCUGGCGGCGUGCCUAACACAUGCAAGUCGAUCGGUAACAGGUGUAGCAAUACAUGCUGACGAGAGGCGGACGGGUGAGUAACGCUUGGGAAUCUGCCUAUUAGUGGGGGACAACCCGGGGAAACUCGGGCUAAUACCGCAUACGCUCUACGGAGGAAAGCCGGGGACCGCAAGGCCUGGCGCUAAUAGAUGAGCCCAAGUCGGAUUAGCUAGUUGGUAGGGUAACGGCCUACCAAGGCGACGAUCCGUAGCUGGUCUGAGAGGACGACCAGGCCCACUGGGACAGAGACCCGGCCCAGACUCCUACGGGAGGAAGCAGUGGGGAAUAUUGGACAAUGGGGGAAACCCUGAUCCAGCGACGCCGCGUGGGUGAAGAAGGCCUGCGGGUUGUAAAGCCCUUUCGGUGGGGAAGAAAAGCCUCGACCUAACACGUCGGGGUAUUGACGUAACCCACAAAAGAAGCACCGGCUAACUCUGUGCCAGCAGCCGCCGUAA